GACGAACGCUGGCGGCGUGCUUAACACACGCAAGUCGAACGAUGAAGCCGGAGCUUGCUCUGGUGAAUUAGUGGCGAACGGGUGAGUAACACGUGAGUAACCUGCCCUUGGCUCUGGGAUAACUGCUAGAAAUGGUAGCUAAUACCGGAUACGACCCUCGGAGGCAUCUCCAGGGGGUGGAAAGAAUUUCGGUCAAGGAUGGACUCGCGGCCUAUCAGCUAGUUGGUGAGGUAACGGCUCACCAAGGCGACGACGGGUAGCCGGCCUGAGAGGGUGACCGGCCACACUGGGACUGAGACACGGCCCAGACUCCUACGGGAGGCAGCAGUGGGGAAUAUUGCACAAUGGGCGCAAGCCUGAUGCAGCAACGCCGCGUGAGGGAUGACGGCCUUCGGGUUGUAAACCUCUUUUAGUAGGGAAGAAGCGAAAGUGACGGUACCUGCAGAAAAAGCACCGGCUAACUACGUGCCAGCCGCCGCGGUAA
rnacentral:rRNA from 1 species